AAGAGCCUCAGCUGCCGCGUGCCUUCUGUCUGCUGUGGGCCCAGCAGCUGCACAGACCCCUCUUGUUGGGAGACAAGACAGGGCUCUUUCUCUCCCGUGACCUCAGCCUCAUCUCCAAUCGUGGGGAAGAGAGAAACUGAAAUUCUUCCUGUGACUGAACACAUGAGAAUGCAACAGUUACUUGGGGUAACAGGUUUCCUGUGGGUCCUGUGUGAAGAGUAUGCAUUCAUUCCAGUGUCGGGGAGGGGAGAAGAAUGAGGAGGAGGCAGUCCCAUGUGGAUGUCAGUGUGAUGAUUAGGAUGCCUGAUGCUUCCGAAACAAGAAUACACUUUACGAAAAUGCCCAUUGAAAAUACUUUUUCCUUUCUACUCUUGUGCUAAGAGUGCCUGUUUGGACCCCAUGGCUUCGUAAUGGGUAUUGUGAAGAUGAAAGCAAAGAUAUGGCAAGAGCUCAGAAGAGUACCUGGCCCAUAAGAAAAUGCCAGUGUUGGAGAAAAUGGGAGAGGAAGCUGGAAAAGCCUGGGGGAGUUAUCAUCAGUGAUACAUGUCUGACCCCAGGUGAAGGAGGGAGGGAGGGAAGGUUGGGUUGAAGUGUCCUAGACUAUAGUAAAGUCCAGGAGAGAUUUGGCAAGGAUCUUGAGGAGUUCUUAAAACAAAGUUAGCUGUCAGAGGACCCCGUAUUAUCAAUGAACAAACUUAUCAUAGUAUUCCCAGCAAUGGGUUUCAGUGAGCAGUAGCUGGGUCCCUUAAUCAAUAAUGCAUCCUGUAGUUGGAAGUCUAUGAGGCAUAAUUUCAAAGGUGCCCCACGGUUUCUAUCCUAGCUCCGCCAUUAAUUGGCUGUUAUUCUAGCAAGUUACUCUGCCUCUCUUUAAACCUCAUCUUCUUCAUUUGUAAAGUGGUAAUGCUAGUAGUACCUUCUCUGUGGUGUGGUUUAAAUAAGAUAAAGAAUGUAUUGUUGUUUUUCUCUGGGGCACCUGGAUCCUGACUGUACCAACUGCUUUCAACUGAUUGGUCUGUGUUCAGGCUGAAGUCCUGGGCUGAAAUUCAUAGAUGUUGUGUUCUAAAAGGAAAUGCUUACUAAUCUCAUUCAUCAGAAAGAAUCUGAAAUAUUUUAUCUUCUGACUUUUGUAUAUACAUCUCUCCUUUUAAAAAUGAAACAAAUAAACUUACAAAGAACAAAGAUAUAAUAGACUGGGAACAAAAUAAACAGCCUCAGGCACAUGUGGCACUAUACCAGAAGAUCUAACAUUUGUGUCAUUGGGGUGCUAGAAGAAGAGGAGAGAGAGUUUGGGGUUGCUAAAGUACCAGACAUAAUAGCUGAAAACUUCCAAAAUUUGACAAAAGAUAUAACCUAUAGAAUCAAGAAACUGGGUUAACCCCAAAUAGGAUAAACCCAAAGAAAUCUAUAUCUAAAGCACAUCAUAAUCAAACUUCCAAAUAUUAAAGACUAGGAAGAAGUCUUGAAAGCAGUGACGGAGAAACAACAAUUUACCUAAGGAAGAAAAACAGCUCAAAUGACAGUGGAGUUCUUAUCAGAAAGCAUGACAGAAGGAAGUGGUACAACAUUUUUCAAGUGCUGAAAGAAAAGAGCUGUCAAUGCAGAAUUCUGUAUCUAGUGAAAAUUUCUUUAGAAAUGAAAGGGAAAUCAAGAUAUUCUCAGAUAAAGGAAAACUAAGAGAAUUUUUUUUUUUUUUUUUACCAGCAGGCCUUCUCUAGAAGAAUGGCAAAAGGAAGUUCUUUAAACAGAAAGGAAAUAAUAAAAUAUGGACCUUCGAAUGUUAGGAAGAAAGAGAAAAUAUGAGAAAUGUUUAUUUAUAAAAUGUGUGCAAUGAGCAAAAAUAUGGUUAAAGACAAUGGAUUGCUUCUUUUCUUGGGUCUUCUAAAUCAUGUUUGAUGGCUGAAGCAAAAAUUAUAACAGCAUCUUAUGUGGUUCUAAAUGUAUACUGAGGAAAUAUUUAAAACAGUUACAUUUUAAGCAGGUAAUGAGGGACAUACAGCUCAGAAAGGAAGAAAUAACACUUCCCCUAUUCCCAGAUGACAUGAUUUCCUGUGUAGAAAAUGCCAUGGAAUCUAAGCAAAUAAACAAACAAACAAAACAAUAAAAGAUCCCACUAGAAUCAAUAAGUGAGUUUAGCAAGUUUGCAGAAUACAAAAAAGCACACAUGAGAAACAUCAGUUGUCUUUCUAUAUGGUAACAGUGAACACAUGAAUACCAAAAUUAAAAAUACAAUACCAUUUACAAUCAACCAAAAAAUAUGUACUUAUGUAUACAGGAAUUAUGUGUUGAAAAAUACAAAAUGCUGAUGAAAGAAAUCAAAGAAGAACUAAUUAGAGAGAGACAUACCAUAUUUAUGCAUUGAAAUAUUGACAUAGUGAAGAUGUCAGUUCUCUUCAAAUUGAUAUACAGGUUUAACGCAAUUCCUAUCAAAAUCCCAGCAAGAGUUUUGUAGAUUGAGACAAGACUAUUUCUAAAAUUUAGAUGAACAAACAUAGGAAUUAAAAUAGCUAAACCAAUUUUGAAAAAGAAGAAUAAAGUGGGAGAAAUCAACUCCCUCAUUUUAAGACUUACUAUAAAGCUACAGUAAUUAAGACUGUACGGUAUUGGCAAAGGGCAAACACAUAGAUCAAUGGAACAGACCAGAGAAUCAAAAAAUAGACCCACAAAAAUAUGCCCGAUUGAUUUUUGACAAAGGUGAAAAAGCAAUUUAGUGAUGGAAAAAUAGCAUUUUCAACAAAUGGUGCUGGAGCAAUUGGGCUUUCAUGAGCAGAAAUAUCUUGACCUAGCUCUCGCACCUUAUGCAAGAAUUAACUCAAAAUAGGUAAUGGACUUAAAUGUAAAACACACAAAAAAGUCAAGUCUUAGACUUGACACCAAAAGCAAAGUCCAUAAUAGAAAAAAAUAGGUAAAUUAGAUUUAACUAGACCUACUCAAAAUUAAGCCUUUUUUUCUGUGAACAACUCUGCUAAGAGGAUGGAAAAACUAACUACAAACUUGAAGAAAAUAGUUGCAAAGCACAUAGCCAACAAAAGAUUAGUAUGUGGAAUAGAUAAACAACUUUCAAAAGUUAACAGUAAAAGACAAACAUCUAAUUAGGAAAUUGACAAAAGAUAUGAAGAGACACCUUACUAAGAAGAUACACAGAUAGAAAUUAAGCACAUGACAAGAUCUUCAACACCAUUAGCCUUUAAAUGAAAUCAAGACCUCAAUGAGAUAUCACAACACACCUAUCUCCUUAUAUGUCACAUGUAAACUCUUAGUCUAAUAGAGAAAUAAAAGUAUGGAACAUUUUAUAAGAUAUAUAGCAUAUGAUAAAAGACAAGUACAUAAGCCAGCACUAAGCCUGUAGUGAGUGUGUACUAUUUGCCAGAUAUCCUAUGUGUUUUAUCUCAGUUUACCCUGACAAUCCCUUGAGGCAGUAAUGUAGAAGAUACAUACUCAAUAUUUUCUGGUUAAAUGAAUAAGUAAUUUCAUCUCUGAAUGGUUGAAUGAGUGGAUGGAUGUUUGGAAUUGGUAAAGGGUAGAACAAUGUAAAACAUUUUAAGACAUAACACAGGCUGGGCAU
rnacentral:lncRNA from 1 species